rnacentral:rRNA from 2 species
UCGAACGAUGAACCACAUUCGGUGGGGAUUAGUGGCGAACGGGUGAGUAACACGUGGGCAAUCUGCCCUGCACUCUGGGACAAGCCCUGGAAACGGGGUCUAAUACCGGAUACUGACCCGCUUGGGCAUCCAAGCGGUUCGAAAGCUCCGGCGGUGCAGGAUGAGCCCGCGGCCUAUCAGCUUGUUGGUGAGGUAAUGGCUCACCAAGGCGACGACGGGUAGCCGGCCUGAGAGGGCGACCGGCCACACUGGGACUGAGACACGGCCCAGACUCCUACGGGAGGCAGCAGUGGGGAAUAUUGCACAAUGGGCGAAAGCCUGAUGCAGCGACGCCGCGUGAGGGAUGACGGCCUUCGGGUUGUAAACCUCUUUCAGCAGGGAAGAAGCGAAAGUGACGGUACCUGCAGAAGAAGCGCCGGCUAACUACGUGCCAGCAGCCGCGGUAAUACGUAGGGCGCGAGCGUUGUCCGGAAUUAUUGGGCGUAAAGAGCUCGUAGGCGGCUUGUCGCGUCGGUUGUGAAAGCCCGGGGCUUAACCCCGGGUCUGCAGUCGAUACGGGCAGGCUAGAGUUCGGUAGGGGAGAUCGGAAUUCCUGGUGUAGCGGUGAAAUGCGCAGAUAUCAGGAGGAACACCGGUGGCGAAGGCGGAUCUCUGGGCCGAUACUGACGCUGAGGAGCGAAAGCGUGGGGAGCGAACAGGA